rnacentral:rRNA from 1 species
CAAUAGCGUAUAUUAAAGUUGUUGCAGUUAAAAAGCUCGUAGUUGGAUUUCUGGAUGGAGCGACCGGUCGGGCAUUAAUUUGUCUGCACUGGAGUCGGUUCCGUCCAUCCUCUUGGAAAGUGCGUGGGGCAUUAAGUUGUCUGGCGUAUGAUCCAAGUCGUUUACUGUGAAAAAAUUAGAGUGUUUAAAGCAGGCCUUCGCCUUGAAUACAUUAGCAUGGAAUAAUAAGAUAGGACUUUGGUCUAUUUUGUUGGUUUGCAGACCGAAGUAAUGAUUAAUAGGGAUAGUUGGGGGUAUUCAUAUUUGGCAGUCAGAGGUGAAAUUCUUAGAUUUGCUGAAGAUGAACAACUGCGAAAGCAUUUACCAAGGAUGUUUNCAUUA